rnacentral:lncRNA from 1 species
UUAGCACCAGAUCGGGAUGGGUAAGGUGUCCGGCGUGCAGAGGUGGUGGUGGAGGGGCUCCGUCAGCUCGAUUUCGUGGCCGCCGGCUCGAGGGGAGGCGGAGGAGGGGCGUUGCCGCCGGCUUCAGGGGAGGUGGACGACGAGCAUCGCCGCGGGCUCGAGGGGAGGAGGAGGAGGAGGAGCGUCGCCGCCGGCUUCAGGGGAGGUGGAUGAGGGGCACAACUGUGGGCUCGAGGGGAGAACGAUGAGGGCCGUCGUUGCUCGAUUCGGUGGGUGGAGCGCCGCCGCUGGCUUAAGGGGAGGCAGAUGAGGGGCGCCGCCGCCAGAGGGCAGGUGCGGCGGAACCCUAGCGGCAGGCGUCGGGCGGGGAGCGAGAGGAGGCGUCGGGCGGGGAGCGACAGAAGGCGUCAGGCGGAAGAAAC